UUGAAAGACCAGUUCCCGUACGAUCAUCGAAGUUAAGCAACGUCGAGCCUGAUCAGUACCGAGAUGGGUGACCGCUUGGGAAUGCCAGGUACAGUA
rnacentral:rRNA from 1 species